UGAAAAAUAAAUACAGCUUUGUCUUGGUUUCUUUAAAGCAUUUCUUCAGGGAUGGGUUUAUCUUUACACAAUAUUUAUGAGAAUAAUGUUUACAUUUUGGUGGAGAAACAAAACUUUGUGCCAUAGGGGCCAAUAAUGGGUGUGACAUCUGGUGCAUCCACGUCAGACAAGGAUAUUGAAGAUGCACUUAUCAAAUGCAGGGAAUAUUUGCUACAGUAAAAAGUAAAGGAUACUAGUCCAUCUUCAU